GGAGGGGUUCCCGAGUGGCCAAAGGGGGCAGACUGUAAAUCUGCUGGCUCCGCCUUCGGAGGUUCGAAUCCUCCCCCCUCCACCA
rnacentral:tRNA from 7 species